rnacentral:rRNA from 1 species
UACGGAGGGGGCUAGCGUUGUUCGGAAUUACUGGGCGUAAAGCGUACGUAGGCGGCUUUGUAAGUUAGAGGUGAAAGCCCGGGGCUCAACUCCGGAAUUGCCUUUAAGACUGCAUCGCUUGAAUCAUGGAGAGGUUAGUGGAAUUCCGAGUGUAGAGGUGAAAUUCGUAGAUAUUCGGAAGAACACCAGUGGCGAAGGCGACUAACUGGACAAUUGCUGACGCUCAGGCACGAAAGCGUGGGGAGCAAAAGGG